UGGACCGCUGAAGUCAGGUGACCUGCACCUUCCUUGAACAUGUUGGUAACUUACUCUGUAUUUGUUCACGGUGGUCACCCCAGGGUCUCAGGACUUAAAACGAGUGCUCUAUGGAUUGAACAGAAAAUGUAGUAUAAACAAGUGUGGAUCAACACUCCAACCAUCUGCAUUAGGGACUGAAUAAAGGAUGCCCUCUGUAGCUGGGAAUGUUAGAUCAGGCGGAUCAACAUUCCAUCCAUCUGCAUUAGGAUCUACCUUAGAGACACUCACUGGAGCUGUAAAGGGAAGCAGGUCACUUACUUUUCAUUCGUCCUUGGUGGUCACCCCAGGGUCUCUAGAGUGAAAAUUACUCAAUCUAUGUAUUAAACAGAAAAUGUAGUUUUAUGAAGUGCAAUUUGGGAUAUUCUUCCAGUUGUCGGCAACUUUGUGAAAAAGGCUGGAAACUAAAAUGCAGAAUUCUGGCCUGGUGUUUGGUCCGUGCUGUCUUUGGCUCUUGCAUCUCCAUCAUCCUGACCCUCUUUAGCAGCCUGUCCAUGUAUUUAUUUGGAGGCCACCAUGAGCACCCAUCUGCAUAAUAUGACUUUGUUACUCAGUUGUCCAUGCUCCUACAAAUUCUACAUUUUUUGUAAAGCUGCAACAAGUUGAAACCCUAUAAUUAUUAACAUUUGAUUUUGAAUUAUGUAAUUCAAAUACAUGAAUAAGUAACAAAAGCAGAAAUAUAUUAAGACAUUACCUUUUUGUUGAUUGUUUACUGAUCUAUAAAUCCUUUUGCAUUCUCAUAAUUGAUCAUCAUAACUUGGUAUACAGUGGAUGUGUGGCUGUAGAUAACUUUCUGAAGUCAAUUUAAAAAGGCAAAAGUUAAUAAAUGCUAAAUUGGUCAAAUAUACAUUGUUGUAUUUUCACCAUUUUGAUCUUAUUUAGGCAUUUCAUAACUUGAGGGAAAUUUACGUAUACUGAUGUUUCAAAUCAAAUAUUAAUUUAUUAAUGACAGCUAAUCAUUUAUAAAGAUUUUUUAUAACAAUAUGUAUUUAUAUAAUAUCAAUUUAAUACAUUUAUUUCGUUACACCUACAUCACUGAGCGCAAGGGAGUGCAGCCAACAAAUACAUUCAGGUGUGUUUGACUUAACACCGAGAUGCGCAGACAGCACGUGGUAUGACAUCAAGUACCGCGAGAGUUUGGGAAAGCCCCGGAAAAGGUUUGAACUCGCGGUACUUGAUGUCACGAUCGGUUUGCGCGUAGAUCAGCAUGAAGUCAAAACACACAUCUGAGAGAUGUGUGGGCUGCCUGCACUCAGCUUCUGGGUCUCGUGUAGAACGAUUUUUUGUUCUUUUCCAACUCGAUUUUUACCUCCCUAAACUAGUAGGAUGUUCCAACGGGUGAAGCAACAGUGCUGACGGCAGUUUCAGUGUCAAGUUUUCAUGCCAUGACCACUGGGACGGAAACCAUUAUGACAUUGCCUUGGACAUCAAACUAAACCAUCUCAUUCUGGCUUUUGAGGUGGAUUCUAACCUUGAAAUCUCAGAAGGACAGGUCUAAGAUGGAUGCAGCCUCCAUAGGAUGCAACCUUGCAUUUGAGAAGCACCCAUAGAACGGUCAACUUACCCCAUACUCUAACCUGAAUGCAGGGAUCAUAAAACUUUAUCUUUUACCUUAAUUGUUAGAUGGGUGUUGAUACCAAACUUUUUUUCUCGUCUACCCAGGAGAAAGUCAUGGGUUCUGCUGCUAAGGUUGUCAUAAUGUAUGCUUUUUUCCAUUUGUUGCAUUUGGCAAUAAUAUCAAAAGACAUAAAUUCUGAAAGAAAUAAGAUAAUUUUCAAAGCAUUAACAUGAAUAUAAAAGCAUUAAGUCAUUAAUGACCAUCUUUUAUUAUUGUUUAUUUAAAGCGUCUUUUAUUCUGCUUACCUGGCUCUGGUGCUUGGUAGUCUUCUCAAACCUCUGAAUCAAGACCACCAUGAGAGGCCUUCUGAAGACCAUCAUUACGCUUCAGAUCCAGUUGUCUUUACUAUGAGAUAGAACUGAACUGGAGUCUGUGAACUAAUGCUGUGUUCGAGACAACUUGGAUGUUGGAUAUUAUUGACCUCAAACCCGUAAGAAGUCUGGAACAGCAAACAAAGUUGAGUAUCAGACGUUGAACUAUUUUUACAGCACAUAUUUAUGAACAUGAAUGUUAAAUUAUCCAGUAACCAUUUUCUGCCAUAAUUGGCACAAGAGCACAAACUUCUCCUGGCGUCUCAUUAUGUGGUAAACACGCAAAUGUGAUACGUGAUUGACUGGAAUGCAUUGAGGUCGGAGGUAGGAUAUUUAAUGACAUAACAUCAGAAAUCCGAGUUGUCUGUAACACUGCACAAUAUUUCACAGAAUUGUCACCACCUGAUUAUCCUCCCAUGUUUUUAACACAACCAUUGAUUGGUCACAAAAAAAAGAAAUCUAUAUUUAAUGUUAAAAAACACUUACUGUGUUAGAUAACUCUGCUCUUGGAAGUCAGCUUAAGUGAACAAAUGGUAAUGUUAAUGAAAAGUUCAUUUUUGUCACAGUUGCAAACUAACAACCACACAAAAUAUGAAGAAUAGCCAGAACUGUGGUAAUAAGCUAGCCCUAAAAUGUUGUGAGAAUCUUGAUGUAUUGGACACAGGUGUGUAGUAUCUGUUAUUUAUACCACGGGUCUGUUGAAUGCUGUAUUCUGAUUGGCUGAGAAAUGUUCCGUGGGUAUGCAUUAAUUUCUGAUAACCACACACCUAACUUGUCAAAUGUCUUAAAAAUAGGCACCAGAGCAAUGUUUGUGGUAACCGUGGUAUUAGAGGAAUAAUUGACUCCGGUCCUUUGAAUUAUUUGAAAUAAAGCACACCCGCAGUGUAACGGCACUCCGCUUCGCAUCGUGCCGCAUUGCACCUUGGGUGUGCAUUAUUUUCUUAUAAUUCAAUGGCCCGUCGUCAGUUAUUCCUUACAUAUUGACGGUUGACAGGUUUGUUUGCAUGUAAUUGCAUUAUUAUUAAUUUGGGGUUGAUAGUCCAAUGUCGAUUUUUUUUCUUUUUCUUUUUAGAUCAUUUCUCUUUUUAAUGCAGAACUUAAGGAUGAACCACCCUGAUCUACUAAGAUGCACAGAUUCAACUCUGGCCCAGCAUCAUCCCCACACCUCAUCUGCCAUCAGUUUAAUUUAAUGUCUGUCAAUUGCAAAUGCUAUUUAUUUCAGUUAUAUUACAACUUAAUUUUAAUUGUGUAAAGCUGGGGUUUCCAAACUUUUCAUUUCAAAACCUAUUAGACAAGUGUAAUCUAUUCUAGACCCACUAAAAUAUUUUUAAAUAUACAUUUUUUUAAUGGGGUAAAACACAUUUGUUCUCUUUCAGUGGAGUCAUUUUAUUUUCAUAAUAUUUCAUAAUGUAAAGCAGUGGUUCUUAAUGUUAUUCCUCGAAGCCCAGUGCUCUGCACAUUUUGUAUGACUCUUUUAUCUGACAGACUCAGUUCAGUUCAUUGAGAUCUCUUCUAAUGAGCUGAUGAUUUGAAUCAGGUGUGUUAAAUAAGGGAGACAUACAAAAUGUGCAGGGCAGUCUGCCUCGAGGAAUAACGUUAAGAACCACUGAUGUAAAGUUAAUAUAAGUUUAUUUGCAAAACCAAAUAUUUUAUGGUAUAUUCUUUCAAAACCAUUGUCAUAGUUAAUUAUUAAUUUGGCCAAACUGUUGUUGCAUAAUUAAGGUGUGCAACACACCUUAACCUACUGUGUGACGGACAAGUGGGUCCUCCUGACACACAAUUUAAAAUCCCCUGGUGUACCGAAUGUUGUAUUGUAAUUAAAGUUGCAUCUAAGUCUUGUGUAA